rnacentral:lncRNA from 1 species
GGUGCUCGGGGACAACUUCGGAUUAGAUGGGGUGUUUUGACUAAGGAGAAAACACAGUAGUUGGAGAGGAGGUUAGCCGAGGGCGGAGCUUGGAUAAGUUCCGGGGAAGCGGACGUUAUGUGAUCAGAGACGGCGAACUUGGUUAGGGAAGUACCACGGGAAGUGCUCGGGGUAGCCAACGGCUAUUAAGACAGACAUCAGGGUGACUGGCGGUGGAACGAUGUAGUCGAAGGAAAAGUGGAGGUAAAGAAGGCG